rnacentral:ribozyme from 1 species
GGUUGCAAGUCUGAGGCCAUAGCAGAAGCGCUCAAUGGUGCGGCUCUGUCAGAUUCCAACAAAUCUGCAAAUUCUGCU